rnacentral:tRNA from 1 species
GCUAGUGUGGUGUAGUGGUUUGAGUGUUGGACUACAACUCUGGAGAUCAGGGUUCGAUUUCCCGUUAGGC